rnacentral:rRNA from 1 species
GUGGGGAAUAUUGGACAAUGGGCGCAAGCCUGAUCCAGCCAUGCCGCGUGUGUGAAGAAGGCCUUUUGGUUGUGAAGCACUUUAAGCGAGGAGGAGGCUACUUGGAUUAAUACUCUAGGAUAGUGGACGUUACUCGCAGAAUAAGCACCGGCUAACUCUGUGCCAGCAGCCGCGGUAAUACAGAGGGUGCGAGCGUUAAUCGGAUUUACUGGGCGUAAAGCGUGCGUAGGCGGCUUUUUAAGUCGGAUGUGAAAUCCCUGAGCUUAACUUAGGAAUUGCAUUCGAUACUGGGAAGCUAGAGUAUGGGAGAGGAUGGUAGAAUUCCAGGUGUAGCGGUGAAAUGCGUAGAGAUCUGGAGGAAUACCGAUGGCGAAGGCAGCCAUCUGGCCUAAUACUGACGCUGAGGUACGAAAGCAUGGGGAGCAAACAGGAUUAGAAACCCGGGUAGUCC